rnacentral:lncRNA from 1 species
CCUUUUCUCCGAGUUAUAAAUAAUAUUUACCAAUACUAAAGAUAUUUGUACUCAAUUUAAUAUGUUAAGUCCUUUAAUUUUUUUUGUCUUAAAGGAUUCACCAAAAGCCCAGCUACGCAGGACAAUAGAAUGUUGUCGGACCAAUUUGUGCAACCAAUAUUUGCAGCCUACACUGCCCCCUGUCGUUAUAGGCCCAUUCUUUGAUGGCAGCGUCCGAUGGCUGGCUGUGCUCAUCUCUAUGGCUGUCUGUAUUGUCGCCAUGAUCGUCUUCUCCAGCUGCUUCUGUUACAAGUAAGAUAGUUAUUUCUAUACUAAAUAUAUUGCUAGCUAUUUUAUAUUAGUCUUGUGUUU